GGGCAGUGAUGAAUUAUUUGAGACAGUCAUGCACCACUCUGAGUGACUAAGUGCUGAUAACUAUCUCACACCCAUUUCACAUCUGAGCCC